AUUGAACGCUGGCGGCAUGCCUUACACAUGCAAGUCGAACGGCAGCACGGGAGCAAUCCUGGUGGCGAGUGGCGAACGGGUGAGUAAUACAUCGGAACGUGCCCAAUCGUGGGGGAUAACGCAGCGAAAGCUGUGCUAAUACCGCAUAAGAUCUACGGAUGAAAGCAGGGGAUCGCAAGACCUUGCGCGAAUGGAGCGGCCGAUGGCAGAUUAGGUAGUUGGUGAGGUAAAGGCUCACCAAGCCUUCGAUCUGUAGCUGGUCUGAGAGGACGACCAGCCACACUGGGACUGAGACACGGCCCAGACUCCUACGGGAGGCAGCAGUGGGGAAUUUUGGACAAUGGGCGCAAGCCUGAUCCAGCCAUGCCGCGUGCAGGAUGAAGGCCUUCGGGUUGUAAACUGCUUUUGUACGGAACGAAAAGGUUCUUUCUAAUAAAGAGAGCUCAUGACGGUACCGUAAGAAUAAGCACCGGCUAACUACGUG
rnacentral:rRNA from 1 species